UACGAAGGGGGCUAGCGUUGCUCGGAAUCACUGGGCGUAAAGCGCACGUAGGCGGCUUUCUAAGUCAGGGGUGAAAUCCUGGAGCUCAACUCCAGAACUGCCUUUGGUACUGGAGAGCUUGAGUCCGGGAGAGGUGAGUGGAACUCCGAGUGUAGAGGUGAAAUUCGUAGAUAUUCGGAAGAACACCAGUGGCGAAGGCGGCUCACUGGCCCGGUACUGACGCUGAGGUGCGAAAGCGUGGGGAGCAAACAGG
rnacentral:rRNA from 1 species